CACGUAGGGGGCAAGCGUUGUCCGGAUUUAUUGGGCGUAAAGAGCUCGUAGGCGGUUCGGUAAGUCGGGUGUGAAACCUCCAGGCUCAACCUGGAGAUGCCACCUGAUACUGCUGUGACUCGAGUCCGGUAGGGGAGCGUGGAAUUCCUGGUGUAGCGGUGAAAUGCGCAGAUAUCGGGAGGAACACCGGUGGCGAAGGCGGUUCUCUGGGCCACACCUGACGCUGAGGAGCGAAAGCGUGGGGAGCGAACAGG
rnacentral:rRNA from 1 species